ACCAAAGUAGUUUAACUCAAAACACUAAUUUGUGGCAUUGAAGAUAUCAGUUGAAGCCUGAUCUAUGGUC
rnacentral:tRNA from 1 species